CAAAAUCAAAUGAAAAAUUAUCUAAUGCAUUGUAUAUGAAAAUCUACACAGAUUUUAAACAAAUUCAUUUUAAACCUUGGUUUCUAUUAACUGUAGAAGUGUUAUACAACAGUUGCACAACUUUGUUUUAUAAUGGAAACAUUUUCUAGCGUAAGUUGCACAAUUUAACGUCCGUUGUACAAGAAUUUAUGUUAUAAAACAAUGGUUGCAGAGAUAGAAAUGAAUCUAUUGCCGCAAAAAUUGUUGUACAACAAAAUUGAACAACUGUUGUACAACAUUUCUGCAACUAUUGGAAACCGAGCUUAAUCAAGUAACUAUUGUUGUGAAAACCUGGUUUCAAAUUAUUUCUGAAAAAUUUUAUAUGCACCCGAUAACUAUAUAUUAAAGUUUAUAAAAAAUAUAAACAUAUUAAUAAUUGAAACAAUAAUGGUAAUUUUCUAAUUUGUAUAAUGGAUAUAAUAUUUUAUAUUUGUCUACUUAUUUAUAACAGGAUAUAAUUUUUGCUUGCAGUUUCACUUGCAGAAGCUAGAAGUAAGGUGUUGCUUGAUAAGAUAAAUACAUUUGUUGGUAACAUAACAACUGAGGACGAUGAAGCUCAGCCAAAAAGAAAGAUUCGUUUAUCAGCAAAAGCUAGGGAUUUGCUGCAUCAUGCUUAUUGGGAUGAAGAGGAGGAAAAUGUUGAGAACAAUUUUAGAUUGUCUGCAGCACCACCUUUUCCAGCAUACAAGCGGAAAAAAUCAGUACAAAAUUUGGGUAGGUUGAGGUAAUCAAAAGUCAAUGGAUACCCACACUGUGAGAGAAAAUUAUAAAAAACUAUUGUUUUCUCCUGAAAUCAAUUUUUCGGAUACUCAUGAAAACUCAGUUGACAAACAUUUGACUCCCCAAAUUGCAAGUGAGUACAACAAUGAAUCUCCAGAAAUUGUUUCUGACCAAAUAGUUGAAGCUGACGCUGAAUUUGAUGUGUGGUGCAAUGGAACAUUGGGUAGUUCAAAUAGGCACAGAAAAAAAGCCAGCGAUAUGUCUCAAACAGAGAUUAAUCAACACAUGCUGAAUUUUACAUAUGUAGUCAUGGAUGCUCUUUAUAUAAAGAGUGUUCUACAGAAUAAAAAACGACCUCUUAAAACAAACAUAGAUUUUGCAGACAAUGAUAAGAUUGUGGAUGACCCAAUAUUAGGAUGCUUGCCUUUGACUACAAAAGAGCAAUAUUUUGAUUUGGAGGAAAAAUUGAAAAAUGACUCCUUUGUCAAAAGUUGGAAAAUGUCCCUUUUGGAACAUACAAAGGCACUCUCGUUGACAACAUUUGCAACAACGACAGCAGCUAAAAUGAUGAUGAAAGAAAUUUUUUCUCAAGAUAUGUUAAAAAAAUUUGUUAUGCUGGUAAUAAAACAUCUGGAGAGAAAAAGGUGGCAGUCAAGAAUGGGAGUGUGUAUUUCACACUGAUAGCUGUGUUAAAACAUCUGGGCCACAAAGACGUUGUAAAGAUUGAAAAAGGCCUAAAAGAUGCCAUGUUCAAAGCUAACAACAAUGUUACAAGGGAGAUAAGAAAAAGAAAAUUUGAAUAACAUUUAUAGAUUUGAAAUUAAAUUUGAAUUGCUCUUAUAGAUUUUGUUUUCUGUUAUUUUUUUAUAGUAAUACUUUUAAACAUUAAGGUGUGUUUGAGGAUGAUCCUAUUAAGGGAUCGGGUUUUUCAAAAUCAUUGCUGGACAGUUUUUUACAAAUUUCAAGGCAGUGGACAGUAUCCAUUUCACUGGUGUUUAACAUAUUUAAUCCACGUGUUAUGUGCACAUUUAUCUAAAUAUCAAUGGCUUUGGAACUCAUAGCAAACAUAAGUAUUUUAAUUACUCGGAAAAAUUUGCUGAAAAGCUUCAACUAUUCAAGUUUUCACCGGCACCAAGACAAAAGGGAUUGCGCGAUUGGUGAUUAGAGAUAGCAAAGUAGCACGAUUUGUUAAUAACACCAGAGAUCGCUCUGACUUGCUGUGAUAAGACAGAAGUUUCAAUGGAGAAAUAGAAGAAAGAAAAUAAUAAAGUAGUGAGAAAGAAAGUAAUAACGAAUCUUAAAAACAAAGCGAAAGAUUGUUUUAAGUAAAUAUUGAUAUCAUGUAAUAAUAUUAAUACUUUAUAAAUAAUAAUGGUAAUUUUUUUAAAUAUUUUAUUAAUAAAACAAGAA